rnacentral:rRNA from 1 species
UCGAGAAUAUUCCGCAAUGGGCGAAAGCCUGACGGAGCGACGCCGCGUGGUUGAUGAAGUCCUUCGGGACGUAAAAACCUUUUAUGAGGGAGGAAGUAAUUGACGUUACCUCAUGAAUAAGGGGCUCCUAACUCUGUGCCAGCAGGAGCGGUAAUACAGAGGCCCCAAGCAUUAUCCGGAAUCACUGGGCGUAAAGGGUGUGUAGGCGGCACUAUUAGUCGUUUGUAAAAGCUCUCGGGCUUAACCCGGGAAAUACAACCGAAACGGUAGAGCUACGAGGGUGUGAGAGGUAUAUGGAACUCAUGGUGUAGGGGUGAAAUCCGUUGAUAUCAUGGGGAACACCAAAUGCGAAGGCAAUAUACUGGCACACUCCUGACGCUGAAACACGAAAGCGUGGGAAUCGAACGGGAUUAGAUACCCCCGUAGUCC